GGGUACUCAUAGAUAUUCCCUGACUAGCUGGACCGUGGUAGUAGUGAGGAACGUGACAAUUCCGAGCUACCUUUGUAGAUCACAUCUCGUUAGCAAGAAGGAUAGGGUUUAUAGGUGCGGGUCGAACAUCCUUUGUGUUGUCUAGAUUCCGUUAGCCUCCCCAUUAGAGCAAUAGAUCAUCCUUACCAAGGUUAGAAGGAGACUACGGUUGCAGUCUUCUCUAUUUAUCACUCACAUCGAAAGACAUUCUUUGUGCCUAAAGGGAUAGUAGCAAUAGAUUUGGUUAGUCAGAUGCACCCUUUCUCCCAGUGGUAAAAAUAUAAAUACGAUAACUCUGGAUAACCUCCCGGGUGAAAUGCUCACUGAUAUUCGUGCGCUUGUGGAUCAUUUCCUUAUUGCGUUACCAAAUAUCAACAAGCAUUUCUGGCGCCGUUGCCGUGGAGAAAGACGGUUUGCUGAGAUAACUUUGAGUCUUGCUAUUAUCUUGUAUUAUACUUUUAUUCUUUUAUUCUUUUAUCUUUUUAUUUUUAUCUUUAUGGAUAACUCAAAUUCCAUAACUAUUAUUAAAUUCCUUGCACCUUCGGAGACCAGCCAUAGACCAUGGGAGUCAACACGUCCUGCCCCUAAUUAUGAUCUGUGUCCGGAGUUGAUUGCAAUAGGUCAAAACCAACCCUUUUCUAUAGCCGAGGU
rnacentral:lncRNA from 1 species